AUUGAACGCUGGCGGCAGGCCUAACACAUGCAAGUCGAACGAGUGGCGGACGGGUGAGUAAUGGCUGGGAAACUGCCUGAUGGAGGGGGAUAACUACUGGAAACGGUAGCUAAUACCGCAUACCAUCGGAUGUGCCCAGAUGGGAUUAGCUAGUCGGUGGGGUAACGGCUAACCAUGGCGACGAUGCCUAGCUGGUCUGAGAGGGUGACCAGCCACACUGGGACGGAGACACGGUCCAGCCUCCUACGGGAGGCAGCAGUGGGGAAUAUUGGACAAUGGGCGAAAGCCUGAUCCAGCAACGCCGCGUGUAUGAAGAAGGUCUUCGGGUUGUAAAGUACUUUCAGCGGGGAGGCGGUACCCACAGAAGAAGCCACGGCUAACUACGUGCCAGCAGCCGCGGUAAUUC
rnacentral:rRNA from 1 species